UACGUAGGGUGCAAGCGUUAAUCGGAAUUACUGGGCGUAAAGCGUGCGCAGGCGGCUAUGCAAGACAGAUGUGAAAUCCCCGGGCUCAACCUGGGAACUGCAUUUGUGACUGCAUGGCUAGAGUACGGUAGAGGGGGAUGGAAUUCCGCGUGUAGCAGUGAAAUGCGUAGAGAUGUGGAGGAAUACCGAUGGCGAAGGCAGCCUCCUGGGCCAACACUGACGCUCAUGCACGAAAGCGUGGGGAGCAAACAGG
rnacentral:rRNA from 1 species